rnacentral:rRNA from 1 species
CCCUUAGAUGUUCUGGGCCGCACGCGUGCUACACUGAGUAAAUCAAUGGGUAAGGGAACACGAAAGUGCAACCUAAUCUUGAAAUUUGCUCGUGAUGGGGAUCAACGGUUGCAAUUUUCCGUCGUGAACGAGGAAUACCUUGUAGGCGCGUGUCAUCAUCACGCGCCGAAUACGUCCCUGCCCUUUGUACACACCGCCCGUCGCUCCUACCGAUUGAGUGAUCCGGUGAGGCUCUGGGACCUGGACGGAAAGAGCGUUUCGCUUGUUCUGUUUGGGAAACUUGGUCGAACCUUAUCAUUUAGAGGAAGGAGAAGUCGUAACA